rnacentral:misc_RNA from 1 species
AUUUUGGGUUACGGCCACUGACUGAAACAAACAAACAGAGUUUAAAGCGGAAGACGUAACUAAUUCCCGGCAGGGUAGAGUCAUGGAGGAGACGCCGUUGAUUAACGGUUUCUCCGACGACGAACACCAUUACCACCAACAGAUCAUCGGCGACGAUGGAGAUUACCGGCCUAUUACAAAUAUCAGAGAAUGGUUGGCUAUUUUCUGCGUAGAGAGUGUGAAGCUUUGGAGGAUUGGAGGUCCGAUAGCGUUUAAUAUUAUCUGUCAAUAUGGUGUGAAUUCACUUACUAAUAUAUUCGUUGGGCAUCUUGGAGAUAUUGAGCUUUCUGCUAUUUCUAUUGCUCAAUCAGUCAUUGGAACCUUCUCUUUCGGGUUCAUGUUGGGAAUGGGAAGUGCAUUGGAGA